rnacentral:rRNA from 1 species
GUCCAGACUCCUACGGGAGGCAGCAGUGGGGGAUAUUGCACAAUGGGGGGAACCCUGAUGCAGCGACGCCGCGUGGGUGAAGGAGUAUUUCGGUAUGUAAAGCCCUAUCGGCAGGGAAGAAGAAAGACGGUACCUGACUAAGAAGCCCCGGCUAACUACGUGCCAGCAGCCGCGGGAAUACGUAGGGGGCGAGCGUUAUCCGGAUUCACUGGGUGUAAAGGGAGCGUAGACGGCGGUGCAAGCCAGAUGUGAAAGCCCGGGGCUCAACCCCGGGACUGCAUUUGGAACUGUGCUGCUAGAGUGUCGGAGAGGCAGGCGGAAUUCCUAGUGUAGCGGUGAAAUGCGUAGAUAUUAGGAGGAACACCAGUGGCGAAGGCGGCCUGCUGGACGAUGACUGACGUUGAGGCUCGAAAGCGUGGGGAGCAAACAGGAUUAGAUACCCCCGUA